rnacentral:misc_RNA from 1 species
CCUCCAAGGCCGUAACCUUUGAAACCGGUGCUGCCGGGGUUGAAGGAGUUACCGUAGCCGGUGAAUCCGACGGUGGAGCCGGUACCGCUUUUCGCGUAGCCCUGGAAGCUGUCGUCGCCGACGUUGGAUUCGUCGCGGUAGCUGGUGAAGGUGUCGGUGCCGGCGUUGCCAUCGUCGCCGUAGCUACGGAAGUUGUUUUCGGGCACAUUGCCGUUGAAGCCGUAUUGUGUAAAGGAGUCUACCGCGCCGUUGCCGUUCUCGCCGUAGCCGGUGAAGGUGGAGCCGAUAACGUUGGAGUUGUUGCCGUAGCUGGUGAAGGUGGUGGGGAUGCCAUUGCCGUCCUUGCCGUAGCCGGCGAAGGACUGGUCGCCGGAGUUGGUGUCGUCGGCGUAACUGGUGAAGGUGGGGUUGUGUCCGUUACCGUGGGCGGCGUAGUUGGUGAAUUUGAGAUUGGGGACGUUGGAUUCGCGCUGGUAGUUGGUGAAGCUGGAGUCGCCGCCGGUGGCACCGGAGCCGUAGCUGGUGAAGUUGUCGGUGACGACAUUGCCGUCGUGGGAGUAGGUGGUGAAGGUGGUGUCAUGGCCGACGCCGUCACGGGAGUAGCUUCGGAAGGUGUCGAUGGGGGUGUUGUCGUCUUCUGAGUAGUUUGUGAAGGAGUCGAGGCCGCCUGGGCGGCCCGCGCCGUAGUUGGUGAAGUUGAUGUUGUCGUAGGUGGCGAAGUUGGCGUCGGUGCGGUGGGAGGCGAGGGAGGGGGUGACGACUGGGCUGCAGAGGAGGCGGGCAGCGGCGCAGAAUGCCGGAAGGUGGGCUGACAGGCCGACGGGAUUGGAGGCAGCGAUGGCGGAGUAAGUGGCGGAGUCGAGGGCGGAGAGU